AGAGUUUGAUCAUGGCUCAGAAUCAACGCUGGCGGCGCGCUUAACACAUGCAAGUCGCACGAGAAAGUGGAGCAAUCCAUGAGUACAGUGGCGUACGGGUGAGUAACACGUGGAUCAUCUACCUUUUAGUGGGGAAUACCCCCGGGAAACUGGGGAUAAUACCGCAUAAUCUCGUGAGAGGAAAGCAGCAAUGCGCUGAAAGAGGAGUCCGCGGCUGAUUAGCUAGUUGGUGAGGUAAUGGCUCACCAAGGCGAAGAUCGGUAGCCGGCCUGAGAGGGCACACGGCCACACUGGCACUGAAACACGGGCCAGACUCCUACGGGAGGCAGCAGUGGGGAAUCUUGCACAAUGGAGGAAACUCUGAUGCAGCGACGCCGCGUGAGUGAUGAAGCCCUUCGGGGUGUAAAGCUCUUUCGACGGGAACGAUAAUGACGGUACCCGAAGAAGAAGCUGCGGCUAACUACGUGCCAGCAGCCGCGGUAAUACGUAGGCAGCAAGCGUUGUUCGGAAUUACUGGGCGUAAAGAGUGUGUAGGCGGUGCUCUAAGUCUGUUGUGAAAUCUCCCGGCUUAACCGGGAGGGUGCGGCGGAAACUGGAGUGCUUGAGGGUGGGAGAGGUAAGCGGAAUUCCUGGUGUAGCGGUGAAAUGCGUAGAUAUCAGGAGGAACACCUGUGGUGUAGACAGCUUACUGGACCACUUCUGACGCUGAGACACGAAAGCGUGGGUAGCAAACAGGAUUAGAUACCCUAGUAGUCC
rnacentral:rRNA from 1 species